rnacentral:tRNA from 1 species
GCCGGAGUGGCGGAACUGGCAUACGCGCCGGUCUCAAAAACCGGUGGUCGCAAGGCCGUGUGGGUUCGACUCCCACCUUCGGCACCA